GAAACAGCGAACAAAAAGCCGUUCACGGCUUCCGCCACCGAAGCACAGAGGACACACCCGUUUCCUCCCUCGAUUUCCUUCUACGGGAAAAUGAGGCAUUGGAUCUUUUGAAAAUAUACAACAGUGUAAAAUUCAGUCAUCAUUGCCCAAUUUGGAAUAGAAAUGGCUCCUGGGGGCAGCACUUGCAAAGAGGUUUGAAUCUCACCCUACAGUUGCAGACUAUGACAUUGGAACAACAAAAGUAGAGAAUAACAGUACAACAACUAAAGGUACUCUCGGUUUUGGGGGAAAGCAUGGAGUUUAUUCAAACAAUGGUGUGCAUGAGCUGCUGGAGUGCCCUGUCUGCUCAAAUUUAAUGUACCCUCCAAUUCAUCAGUGCCCAAA
rnacentral:misc_RNA from 1 species